GUAGGUGGCAAGCGUUGUCCGGAAUUAUUGGGCGUAAAGCGCGCGCAGGCGGUUCUUUAAGUCUGAUGUGAAAGCCCACGGCUCAACCGUGGAGGGUCAUUGGAAACUGGAGAACUUGAGUACAGAAGAGGAAAGCGGAAUUCCACGUGUAGCGGUGAAAUGCGUAGAGAUGUGGAGGAACACCAGUGGCGAAGGCGGCUUUCUGGUCUGUAACUGACGCUGAGGCGCGAAAGCGUGGGGAGCAAACAGGGAUUAGAUACCCUGGUAGUCCACGCCGUAAACGAUGAGUGCUAAGUGUUAGGGGGGUUUCCGCCCCCCUUAGUGCUGCAGCUAACGCAUUAAGCACUCCGCCUGGGGAGUACGGCCGCAAGGCUA
rnacentral:rRNA from 1 species